AUGAACGCUGGCGGCAGGCCUAACACAUGCAAGUCGAACGGGCACUUUCGGGUGCUAGUGGCGGACGGGUGAGUAACGCGUGGGAACAUACCCUAUGGUUCGGAAUAGCCCCGGGAAACUGGGAGUAAUACCGGAUACGCCCUUCGGGGGAAAGAUUUAUCGCCAAAGGAUUGGCCCGCGUUGGAUUAGGUAGUUGGUGGGGUAAUGGCCUACCAAGCCGACGAUCCAUAGCUGGUUUGAGAGGAUGAUCAGCCACACUGGGACUGAGACACGGCCCAGACUCCUACGGGAGGCAGCAGUGGGGAAUCUUAGACAAUGGGGGAAACCCUGAUCUAGCCAUGCCGCGUGAUCGAUGAAGGCCUUAGGGUUGUAAAGAUCUUUCAGAUGGGAAGAUAAUGACGGUACCAUCAGAAGAAGCCCCGGCUAACUCCGU
rnacentral:rRNA from 1 species